rnacentral:rRNA from 1 species
CCUACGGGAGGCAGCAGUGAGGAAUAUUGGUCAAUGGACGCAAGCCUGAACCAGCCAUGCCGCGUGCAGGAAGACGGCUCUAUGAGUUGUAAACUGCUUUUGUACGAGGGUAAACGCAGAUACGCGUCUCUGUCUGAAAGUAUCGUACGAAUAAGGAUCGGCUAACUCCGUGCCAGCAGCCGCGGUAAUACGGAGGAUUCAAGCGUUAUCCGGAUUUAUUGGGUUUAAAGGGUGCGUAGGCGGCCGGAUAAGUUAGAGGUGAAAUCCCGAGGCUCAACCUCGGAACUGCCUUUGAUACUGUUCGGCUAGAGAGUAGGUGAGGUAGGCGGAAUGUGUGGUGUAGCGGUGAAAUGCUUAGAUAUCAUACAGAACACCGAUGGCGAAGGCAGCUUACCGGGCUACUACUGACGUUGAGGCACGAAAGCGUGGGGAGCAAACAGGAUUAGAUACCCUAGUAGUC